AUUGAACGCUGGCGGCAUGCCUUACACAUGCAAGUCGAACGGUAACGGGCCUUCGGGUGCCGACGAGUGGCGAACGGGUGAGUAAUGUAUCGGAACGUACCUUUCAGUGGGGGAUAACGUAGCGAAAGUUACGCUAAUACCGCAUAUUCUGUGAGCAGGAAAGCAGGGGAUCGCAAGACCUUGCGCUGAUUGAGCGGCCGAUAUCAGAUUAGCUAGUUGGUGAGGUAAUGGCUCACCAAGGCUAUGACGGCUAGGGGACCUGAGAGGGUGACCCCCAACGAUGGAACUGAGAUACGGUCCAUACACCUACGGGUGGCCGCAGUCAAGAACCUUCCGCAAUGGACGAAAGUCUGACGGAGCGACGCCGCGUGCUGGAUGAAGACCCUCUGGGUCGUAAACAGCUUUUGUUGAGGAGAAAGAUCGGGGAUUUAUCCCCGGUUUGAUAGUACUCAAAGAAUAAGGGGUUGCUAAACUCGUGCCAGCCGCCGCUGUAACAC
rnacentral:rRNA from 1 species